UUCAAGCUCCAUAGCGUAUAUUAAAGUUGUUGCAGUUAAAAAGCUCGUAGUUGAAUUUCGGGAUCAGUAGGUUGGUCGUGCCACCGGUACGAACUGGUCUCACUGAUUCCUCCUUCCUGACGAGCUGAAAUGCCAUUAAUUUGGUGUUGCAGGGAAUCUGGACUGUUACUUUGAAAAAAUUAGAGGGUUAAAGGCAGGCACCCA
rnacentral:rRNA from 1 species